rnacentral:rRNA from 1 species
UCGGGAAUUUUGGGCAAUGGGCGAAAGCCUGACCCAGCAACGCCGCGUGAGGGAUGAAGUACUUCGGUAUGUAAACCUCGAAAGAAUGGGAAGAAUAAAUGACGGUACCAUUUAUAAGCUCCGGCUAACUACGUGCCAGCAGCCGCGGUAAUACGUAGGGAGCAAGCGUUGUUCGGAUUUACUGGGCGUAAAGGGCGCGUAGGCGGCGCGGUAAGUCACUUGUGAAAUCUCUGAGCUUAACUCAGAACGGCCAAGUGAUACUGCUGUGCUAGAGUGCGGAAGAGGCAACCGGAAUUCUUGGUGUAGCGGUGAAAUGCGUAGAUAUCAAGAGGAACACCUGAGGCGAAGGCGGGUUGCUGGGCCGACACUGACGCUGAUGCGCGAAAGCCAGGGGAGCAAACG